GAUUUUUCUUUGGAUUUCUAAUUCUUUAUCAAUCCAUGAACCAAUAACCCCUAGUUUCAUUUUCUUCUUUGGAUCUGCCUCUGCGGCUCUACCUCUUCCAAAACUCAAACAGAGAGUUCAUCUUCUUCUUCGACCUAAUCCAUAAUCAGUAUAACGUUUCUUCUUCAUCAUCAAUUCAUCAUCUUCUACAUGCUUUAUUAUUCUCUUCUUUUUUUUUUCUCUUUAAUCGUUUAUUCGUGUGAUUCUUUGUUGUUUGUUCGCUAAGCUCUUCCAUAUCACUAAAAAUCUCAGCUGGAUUUACGGAUUUACGGUUGGAGAGAUCAGCCGUCUCCGCCCGUCGAUGCUUCGUCACUGUCAACAAAUGUGUCGAAAACCCUAAUUUUUAAUGGGUUGGGCUGUAAAUUUGUUAAUUUUAAUUGGGUUUGUAAUUUUUUUAAUGCAUUUAAAUGAUUAUUAUGGGUUUGGGCUUUGUUUUUUUUAGCCCAUUAUUCAUAUAUUUUUUGUAAUUCGGUUAAAAUAAACCGACACAGGAAAAAAAAUCAAUUUAAUUCGGAAUUAUUUUAAA